rnacentral:rRNA from 1 species
AUUGAACGCUGGCGGAAUGCCUAACACAUGCAAGUCGAGCGGAGUAGCAAUACUCAGCGGCGGACGGGUGAGGAAUACAUAGGAACUUGCCUUUAGGUGGGGGAUAGCUUGGGGAAACUCAAGGUAAUACCGCAUGAUCUCGCAAGAGCAAAGGGGCGCGAGUCUCGCCUUUAGAGAGGCCUAUGUCUGAUUAGCUAGUUGGCGGUGUAAUAGACCACCAAGGCGACGAUCAGCAACUGGUCUGAGAGGACGAUCAGUCACACCGGAACUGAGACACGGGCCGGACUCGUACGGGAGGCAGCAGUGGGGAAUAUUGGACGAUGGGCGAAAGCCUGAUCCAGCAAUUCCGCGUGUGUGAAGAAGGCCUUCGGGUUGUAAAGCACUUUAGUGAGGGAAGAAACAGCUUGGCCACACCAAGCCUUGACGGUACCUCAAGAAUAAGCACCGGCUAACUCUGUGCCAGCCGCCGCGGUAA